UGGCUGAGUGGUAAAGCGCAUGGCAUCCAAACCGGGGGUCCCGGGUUCGAAUCCCGG
rnacentral:tRNA from 1 species